rnacentral:rRNA from 1 species
AACGAACGCUGGCGGCAUGCCUAACACAUGCAAGUCGAACGAGACCUUCGGGUCUAGUGUCGCACGGGUGCGUAACGCGUGGGAACCUGCCCUUAGGUUCGGAAUAACUCCCCGACAGGGGUGCUAAUACCGGAUAAUGUCUUCGGACCAAAGAUUUAUCGCCUUUUGAUGGGCCCGCGUUGGAUUAGCUAGUUGGUAGGGUAAAAGCCUACCAAGGCGACGAUCCAUAGCUGGUCUGAGAGGAUGAUCAGCCACACUGGGACUGAGACACGGACCAGACUCCUACGGGAAGCAGCAGUGGGGAAUAUUGGACAAUGGGCGAAAGCCUGAUCCAGCAAUGCCGCGUGAGUGAUGAAGGCCUUAGGGUUGUAAAGAUCUUUUACCCGGGAUGAUAAUGACAGUACCGGGAGAAUAAGCUCCGGCUAACUCCGUG